GUUCACAUUAAAAACGAGAUUAAAUAUCGAAGUCAAGAAUACCUAGUUUACGAUAGAACUGCGUCAGAAUGGACAACUACAUUUUUAAAUAGCUCAUAAUCUCGAUAACUUCGAAUAAGGCACUAUGAAGUUGCGACCAGUCAUUGCAGAUGAAACGUGCGCUCGACUGAAUUCAUAUCGGAAAAAUUAUUUUCACAAUUCAAUAUACAUACGAGGCCUUCAUUUCUCUAAUGUAAUAGACAAACCUAUAAUAUUGUUAUUUUUUUUUUAAAUUCUUUUAUUACUGUAAAAUAACAUAAAAAAAUCAAAAGUUUUCAGAAAUAAAGUUAAAGUCUAGAAAAAAUAACAUUUAAUGCCUCGAGAACUAACACGGUGGCUUAUUAUACGAUCACUAUGGCAACAUAACGAGUCGUUAAGCUUCCUUAAACAGAACAAAUACAAAACCAUUUCUUCUCUGAAUUGGCUGAAUUAGGUAGCUUUCAUGAAUUAAAUAGCUUCUCGGCUUUGAGUCAAAGCCUGUAAAGUAUAUAAACUGAUAUAUAUUUUUUGUUGAAAUGUCGUUUUAAAUGAAUAAUAUCAGUUGUAACCUUAGACUAGUACUAUGAAACCCAUUUUACCACAAUUUUAUAUUUUUGUGUAAAACAGUUGAUAUUGAUACGAUACUGUCACGCACAUCGUGCAAUUUCAAAAGGUUAAUAGACAUAUUUGACAUACGUGUAAAUAGUUGCAUAUGAUGUCAUGAAAGGGUCAAAGUCUUAAUAUGCUAAGAAGAGACUAGGAUGUAAAAGAAAUUAUUUAGAAUUACUACUGAAUAGUUUUUAAGUGAAGCUGAGUCAAAUAGGUUUGACUUGUACCUUGGAGUUUUAAGUACUUCACAGUGGGACAACCCUCUAGUAUUGGAAUAAUAUAAUAAUGAAAAAGAAUAAAGGUCUGGAAACAUCUUUACCUUUUGUCACAUUGUUAUCUUAAGUGGAAAUAACACGUCAAAAAUCAAAAUGCAUUACUUGCAAUGCGUCAACCUCCUAAACGUUGAAAUAUUUAACAAUG